GCCAGCAUGGUUUAGUGGUUUGAGCAUUGGACUACAACUCUGGAGAGCAGGAUUCAAAUCCCUGCUCAGAUG